rnacentral:rRNA from 1 species
GCUUACGGCCAUACACCCUGAACAACGCCCGAUCUCGUCCGAUCUCGGAAGCUAAGCAGGUCGGGCAAGGUUAGUAUUGGAUGGGAGACGCCUGGGAAAUACCAGGUGCUGUAAGCU